rnacentral:rRNA from 1 species
AAACUAACAAGGAUUCCCCUAGUAGCGGCGAGCGAAGCGGGAAGAGCUCAAAUUUGUAAUCUGGCGCUUUCAGCGUCCGAGUUGUAAUCUCUAGAAAUGUUUUCCGCGUUGCACCGCACACAAGUCUGUUGGAAUACAGCGGCACAGUGGUGAGACCCCCGUUCAUGGUGCGGAUGCGCAAUGCUUUGUGAUACAUUUUCGAAGAGUCGAGUUGUUUGGGAAUGCAGCUCAAAUUGGGUGGUAAAUUCCAUCUAAAGCUAAAUAUUGGCGAGAGACCGAUAGCGAACAAGUACCGUGAGGGAAAGAUGAAAAGCACUUUGGAAAGAGAGUUAACAGUACGUGAAAUUGUUGGAAGGGAAACGCUUGAAGUCAGACUUGCUGUUCGGAGUUCAGCCGCAAGGUGUACUCUCCGAGUUGCAGGCCAGCAUCAGUUUUUCGGGGUGGAAAAUCACGGUUUGAAGGUAGCAGUUUCGGCUGUGUUAUAGCUUUCCGUUGGAUACAUCCUGGGGGACUGAGGAACGCAGUGUGCUUUUAGCAGGGGUUUCGACCUCUCACACUAGG